ACAUCAAGCCUAACACCCAGCCUGCAUAUCCCAAGAUACCCAUUACUUCAUUUGUCAAACAUAACACCCAGCCUGUAUAUCCCGAGAUACCCAUUACUUCAUUUGUCAAACAUAACAUUUCAGAGCCUACUAUAGGAGUUAUUCAAAUUAAUCAGACAUAAACAUGUCCCGUUAGACAUAAACAUUUCCCACGCCUGUUAUCAACAGUCCCCUUAUUAUAAACAUUUCAUACGCCUUUACCGACGACAGCAGACAUAAACAAGUGCAUUCAUCAGCUUAAAAGCUUUGACCAAUCCAAAUUUAAUAAACAAAAGAUGCAGCCUGACAACCCACCCAUCAGGCCACCAUUUCAACCAAUCGAAAUCUUCUGAUCGAAGUCCACUUUCGCUGCUAGCGUCGCUGUCACCGAUAAAAGCCAUAGUUAUAAGAAUAAUGCAAUUGUAAAGACAGUUCAAUUUUGGGAA